GGUAAACAAUGUGUCGCAUCUAUGGGUGGUGUUAGUAUCCGUCUGUUUCAACUCCCAGCCUGACAGAAUUUUUUUUUUUUUUUUUGUGUGUGUGUAACCAGGCCUACACAGUGGCUGCCAAGGCUUACCCAUGAAUUAAACCUUCUUUAGUUGGUAAUGAGGAAGGCGUGGGCUCUAGCAGUGGACACCCGAAGGCAGCAGUGGAUGAAAACAAGCAAAAUAAAGAAAAGUUUGGCUGUGAGAAGGUGCUAGAAAGCCAGCCAUAGUGACGAGGAGGCAGGAAGGUACAUCACCACCACCAUCACAGGGAAGGUGACAACUGCAAUACAAUGUUUGGAGGACUCAAGCGUAACGAAGAAGGGAAUAAUGUGUAUGCAAAUCUGAAGAUGUUGGAAAAGUCAUUGAUUGGAGUAGGUUGCCCAGCACAUAUUCUGAAUAACUGUGUCCAUCAUGGAGCAGAAAGAAUGGAUAUUGAUAUUGAAAAUAUUAUCAGUAAGAUUUAUCAGUAUUUUCAUAUCUACACAGUUCGCUCUGAAAAACUAAAGGAGUAUUGUGAAUUUGCUGAGGUUGAGUACAGGGAACUUCUCUCUCAAAGUAAGAGUUGUUGGCUGUCACUAUUUCCUGGCAUCACAAGGCUGAUAGAGAUGUUUCCUGCUCUUAAGUCCUUCUUUCUUUCACAAGAGCAACCACCAACAGUAAUAAAAAAAAAUCUUUGAAAAUGAAAUGAGUGAGAUUACCUCUGGCACAUGCACUCUUCAAUGGCUAUAUUUCACACACACAUUCAAACAAUUGAAAAGGAAAGUAACUCUGUUGUAGAAGUGCUGACAAAUUUGGAGUCUGUGUGUAAAGUACUUGCAGAAAGAAAGAACCAGCAUUUCAUGUCUUUAAAAGUUAAAGGACUAAUUGCUCAGAAGCGCACAGAAGGAAAAGAAGAGUGUAACAGGUUCUGUGUUGAAGUAGUUAACCUGUACAACAGAUGCUCAGAGUACUUAGCUAAGUGGAUGAAACCACUGGAAGAGUUCUCUUGUUUCAAGUGGAUGGUCUUGAGUGAAAUGCCAAACUGGACUGAUGUGGAACCUUGUGUUGUAUACUUGAUAGACAAGGGAAUAGAGCUUGAUGAUGUAAAGUGCUUUGACCAAGUUUGUAACUUGAGGCAGUUUGUAGAAAGGAACAAGAAUGAUGAAGACUUCAGUAAAUUACCAGCACAUAAAAAAAUGGACCAGAUACUUUGAAGCAUCAAAGAAUAUUGAAUGCCACUCAGAACUGCUCAGAAUUGCACAAUUCUUUUUUGCUGUAACAUCCCACAAUGCUAAUGUGGAGCGAGUCUUUUUGCUGAUGCAAAGUCAGUGGAUGAAGGAAAGGAACAAGCUGAGUGUUGAUACAAUGAAAGGUAUUCUGACUGUACAGUACAACUACUGAGAGACCUCUUAUGUUGACUUCUUCAACUUUUUAAAGUCCAACAAGGAACUACUUAAAAAUAUAAGAUCUACAGAAAAAUAUGCAUCGGCACAUCAAGCAACACACGCAGUGGUUGAAGAAGAGUUAGAAGACAGCAACUAAGCUAAGUGGAAAAAUGGAAUUCAAGAUUAUCAGCCAUAUGCAAAGAUAAUGUUGCUGCUGGGGAAGCUGGUGAUGGUACCCGGCCAGCUAGUACACACCAGUGAGAUGGUGGUGGUGGUGCUGUUGAGGGACAGCUGCUUUGCCGAGAGUAAUGUCAAGCAGGCCGCCCACACAGUUAGCAGGAGGAUCAGGGCUUGUGUUGUGGUAAAGUGGCUAGCAGCAUGAAGGGAGGCACAGCUCAGAUCAUCUCCCCCUGGCCCAAGAUUCACAGCUGUUGGUGGAGCAUGUCAGCUUCUGUGAUGGGCAGGGGACACCAUCUGCAGUUUGCACCGGACAGCUUAACAGUCUGGCAGGAGGACCAUCACAGUAUCACUGUAGUUGAUGCUGAGAGCAGCAUGUUAUCUGCCUCCUAAGAUGCUGCAAUAUUGUAAUGCACAUCAGUGACAUGCUUUGCUCAGUGUGAGAGCUGAGAGUGUUAAGGGGCAUGGAUAAGCAUGAAUAGGCGCAGACACUCUUCCAGGGGGGCGUGAGCACAGGACAGGAGGGAAAAAAGUUGCAGAAUAUCACACUUACUGGCUAUUAGUACAAAUGAGAUGCAGCUGUUAUGCCUUCCUUCUAUCUGUCUGUGUAUCUAUCUGAUUCUAUCUGUCCAUCUAUUUGAUUCUGUCUAUUCAUCUGUGGUGGCAUAGUUGCGAGGGUUUGAGUGUGUGGCACAGGGAGGAAGGGGGGCCCAAACUGCAUUGAACCAGCUUUGGGGGGGCUCAGCCUGCAAAAGGUUGAUGUAGACAGUAAUAGUAAAUUGUUUUAUUUUGAAAGUUAAAAAUACAAGUUUGAAUACUGAGUUUGUGGGCUGUAUACUACAUAGAAGUGUGGAGGAGCACUGUGUGGAAGUAGAGGCAAGGCUCUGUGCCUCCAUGGAGAAAGUUCUCCUGAGGAACAGAGUCUCCCAAACUUUGUUAUUGUAAUUACAUCAUCACAACUUUGUGACUUCCUUGCAUUUGUGUUCCAGCAACCUCACCAAAACUGUUCAUCUCUGCACAUCAAAUUGAGAGUGUACUACACCCUCAAGUGGAGAAAUGAGUAGACAGGGAGGAGGAAAGGGAAAAAUAGAUAGUUGAUUUCAUUAAAUCCCUAAGUUCUUCAGUUUGUUUUCCACAGGUGUCAACAAGGCUUAUUCUAAGGUUUAUCAUUUUAUUUAAUUGCCUUAGUGAAUCUCUCUCUCUCUCUCUCUCUCUCUCUCUCUCUCUCUCUCUCUCUCUCUCUCUCUCUCUCUCUCUCUCUCUCUCUCUCUCUCUCUCUCUCUCUCUCUCUCUCUCUCUCUCUCUCUCUCUCUCUCUCUCUCUCUCUCUCUCUCUCUCUCUCUCUCUCUCUCUCGUUGUAAUAUGUAAUACCUGCCCCAAUAUUUGUUGCAUGUGCUGUAAGACAAAACAGGUUAGUGUGAAUUUCUUUAAAGAUAAAAUAGUGUACAUAAUUCUGCAGGUGUUUUCAGUACCAUAAAUGACUCUUCUCUUAAAUCUUUCUUGGGUUACAUAUCAUUUCUUUUGUUUCCUGCAGUGCCCUUACAGUGUGAUAGUACAAGCUUCUGCUUGGUUUGUGUGUUUCCUUCUGCUGUGCAUGACACGUGAUGGUGGUGGUGGUGGUGGCUCUUGGUGUUGUCCAGUGCUACACAUGCAUGCUCUUAAUGCACAGUGUGUUGGUGGUGCCCUGUGCUUUACAUGCUUUCUUUAAAAUAGUCAUGGUCUUUGUGUAAUUUUUUGUAUAGUGUUGCAUAACUUGUUCCUGCUGUGCAUCACUGUCUGAUGGACAUGUUAGUGUUUCCAUGGUGUUUGCAUGUAAAACUAACACUUUUGCUGACCUUUGUCCUUUAUAGUAAAGCUUUUAGAAAGAUUUCAUUUAACUCAUGCUUUCUUGACUAUUGCAAUGUAUUGCACCAUUGUGUUUGACGUGUUUUGGAUGUUGGUUAUACUAACUAUACUUCAAGAUGUAGUAUGAAUAUGAAUAAAACUUGAAUACCAUA